rnacentral:piRNA from 1 species
UAGGAUUUUGCCCAGGUGACCAGGAG